GAACAUCCACGCUUCCGCUUUCCUAAAGGCUACAUACAAAACCCAUCAGAUAACAAAUAUUUGAAUAAUUACUAGAGGCUCCACUAUAUCUCAAGUACACAAAUAAAAAACCUCAAAAGCACACUCCCAUCAUUAAAUUACAGGUGAAUAAUACAACAUUUAAUAUAAUAUAAUAUAUCGAAAUAUAUUUAUAUUUAAUUAACAUAUCAACCCUUGUAAGUAAAACCCAUUUACUGGGUUUUUUCUUAUGAUGUAAGAAACAGCUCAAAUAGUCAUCGAUCAAUAGCUGCUCCGGUUGGACCGGUUCAAUAUCUUCAGAUCAAUCUACAACAUAUUAUUAUAGUAAUUUAUAAGCCACAAGAGAUAUAGAUUCACCAUGAAAUUAACAAUAUUACACGCUACUUUCAGUAAUUAAUAAUCGACACACAUUCAAUUCAAGUUUCAAUAAAGCAUUAACAAUCAUAACCUUUGAGAACAAGCAACGUUCAUUUCAGUCAGCAGAAAAUGCUUCCAAUCUGAUAACCAAGAAAGAGUAGUAGUAACAUAAGAGUAUCAAAUCUACAAAACUUAAACAACAACGAACGCAUAAAACAAGAACAUGAUAGUGUGUGUUGGCAAUGGUAUUGAAAUGGAAUGGAAUCCCCUGUGAAAUGACAAGAAAACCGGAAUUAAGAUGAUGAUGAUGAUGAUGGAAUUGGCUUUGUAAUUUGUAAUUUGUACAUAGACAGAUAGAAAACAAACAACGAACCGAUAGCAGCAGCUUUCUUAAAAUCUGUGAAAUAUCAUUCAUCUUCAGUCACCAUCAUCAAUCAGUACCUAACUACAAUGAUCAAGAGAUAACAAUGGAAGAUGAAGAAAGGGUUAGCUAGCUAAGCUUCCUAUUUGGGAUUCGAACCCAAGAAAUCCAACUUAUCAGCCAAGAAAUUCACAUCUUCAACACCUGAUCUUUCACUAAACAACUCUUCCCAGAAUUCAUCAUCAAGUUCUUUCUCUUCACACAUCUCAUUAGCUUCUUCUUCUUCUUCUACUACUUCUUCUUCUUCUUCCUCUUGGUUUCUUUUGGCUCUACCAAAUCCUUGAAUCUCUAAAGCAAGUGCCUCAAGCUCAGACACCUGAGAAAACUCCUCCUCCUCUGGUUCAUCUUUAAUAAGUUUGUUUCUGGUUCGACUCGAUUCCCCACUUUCAACACCAUCAAACCCUCUAAUGGCGUCUCGAAGGUCCUGUCUUCUACCAUGUUGGACUAACUUUCUGACAAAUUCAGGAUUUUGCAUAGCUUUCGCCAAGAAACUCAUCACCUUCUGCUGUUUUUUCUCUGUCCCACGUAUCCUGACUUCCAUGGCUUGAAGUUGAGCCCUAGUGUUCUGUUGCUGUUGUCGGAGGUUUACUAACUCCAUCAUCAGAACUUGCUUUUCGUGUUUCAGACGCCCAACUUCAUCCAAUCCGAAUGAUUCAGGACAACCUUGAGAAGCAGCUGAAGAUGAUGAUGAAGAAGAAGAAGGCGCGCGUCUUCUCUUGAUGUUCUUCAAAACGUGUCUUUGACCCCUCACGAACGCUUCAUUCGCAAACUCCCAUACAUCCGGAUCUAUCUUUCUAAAACCCUGCGUUCAGAAACCGAAAGCUCUAUAGCCAACAAUUUCCGAAUAAAACAUAUACUGUAUAUACUAACUAAAAAUAUCUAGACUAAUUUCCGGUAUUCUUCAUUCAUCAUUUCGUAGCCCCAUCUUUUGCCAUAAUCAAUCACAUCUUCUUCUAGCUUUGCAUAAAUGAAACUUUGAUUAUUUUUAAUUUGAUUGCGAAUUAAAACCAUGGGAAAAAAGAGAGAGAAAGGGAGUGGGAGAAAGACUUACAUAAGUAUUGAGUUGCCUGACAAAACUAGAGAAAUUGUUGUGUUUAAAGUAUCGAGGGAGGAGAUUAGUAGCGAAAGCAUGUGGAUCCAAUACAGUGAAGCUUUGACCACCUCUGCUCCAAGAAACAAUGUGGUCAAUACUUCGGUCGUCGACCAUAUCAUAGAUUUUCGUCAAAAAAGGUGGGGGCCCAGCAUCAUGAAGACCCUCCAUUGGCUGUGGAAGUGGUGCUUGAAUCGCCGUUGGCCGCCUUACGCCGUCGCUACCACCACCACCACCACCACUUGAUGGAUACUCCUCCUUAACGACCGAGAAGAAAGGAUUCAUAAUCGACCCCUUCUAAAUCACAAGUCUUUAUCGACGGGUUUUAAUUUACCAAGAUAAUAAACCCAAACGAAUCACAAAUCCAGAAUCUUUCGUAUGAAAACCCAGAUGGGUUUAUUCAAUUUUGCAGCAAAACUCAGGAAAUAGAAGAUAGAAACUUGUACUACGACUACGACGAUGAAACUCAAUAAAUCAGAACAAGGUCAAUUACAAAUCUCAGAUGGGUUCAUCAAAAUUAGCAUCAAAACCUAGGAAAUAUAAGAUUAAAGUUUGCACGACGAUAAUUAGACCAAACAAAUUACAACAAGAUAAUCACAAAUCUCACGAAUUUUCACUUUUGAAAACUCAGAUGGGUUCAUCAAACUUUGCAGCAAACCCGAGAAUAUAUAAAAUAAAUUAAAACUUGCUGUGAUGAAAGAUCAAACAGAUUGGUAUACGCAAAGACCAAAUCUAGAGUAGAUUAGGGCUUUUGAGCAAAAUUUCAGUUAAAAACAGAUAACAUAAAUGGAAUCUAAAGGACAAACUGACAUUUGAGGAAAGUUGUUGAUAACUGCCAGAAUCAUGGCUGGCGCUGAGCUAUCCCCUUUAAGAAAGUUCUGGUAUACUAAAUUUAUGGGUUUUUUUGUAAAAACAAGAGUUGAAUUUGGGCAAAAAUGCAGACGAAAUGUGCAAAAUUUCAGGGCAAGAAGGAAGACGAAGGUUCUAGAUACUACUUAUCCGAACCUUCCACACUACUUAUAGCGAACCUUCUCUUCCUCGCUAUUAUUUUACUUUUUUUUUUUAAUUAUUGAUUUGUAUAGAAACAAAC
rnacentral:lncRNA from 1 species